CUGAACUCUUAAACCCACUUGGUAGCCUUGCUCUCAGUGCUUCCAAGAUACGAGUGAAUGCUGUAGAAAUUGCAGGGGAGUCCAAAGGGCCGGGCUUCUCUCCUGUGGCUCAGUCUUAUUUCCCACCUGCAACAUCU